AUUGAACGCUGGCGGCAGGCCUAACACAUGCAAGUCGAGCGAGCGGUGGACGGGUGAGUAAUGCUUGGGAAUCUAGCUUAUGGAGGGGGAUAACUACGGGAAACUGUAGCUAAUACCGCGUACCCUAGGAUGAGCCCAAGGGGGAUUAGGUAGUUGGUGAGGUAAAGGCUCACCAAGCCGACGAUCUCUAGCUGGUCUGAGAGGGUGACCAGGCAAACUGGGAUUGAGACACGGCCCAGACUCCUACGGGCGGCAGCAGUUGGGAAUAUUGCGCAAUGGGGGCAACCUGACGCAGCCAUGCCGCGUGAAUGAAGAAGGCCUUCGGGUUGUAAAGUUCUUUCGGUAGCGAGGCGUUAACUACAGAAGAAGCACCGGCUAACUCCGUGCCAGCAGCCGCGGUAAUUC
rnacentral:rRNA from 1 species